GAGCCGUGGAGGGGGGAGGAGGAGUCACGAGGAGGGUGGCCAGGCCGAGCCCUCUGCCCUCCGCCCCAGCCCGCACUUCGGUUCGACUCAGCCACGCGCCUUGCUCCUCACCGUUCUCCUGCUUUCUUCGGGACUCCGGAGGCCAACGCAAUGAGUGACGCUCUCUGGACACUUGGGAGAAUUGAUUGUCCUCCUCCUACUAUUGUGCUUGCCCAACCAAUACUUACUGAUGCCCGCGAAGUCCUGGGGCACAAGGGGCACAAAACUGGAACUACCUUGGAUCCUGCCUGCCCUCAAGGUGCCCCAAGGUUAAUGCAGAUCGGACCUCUGAGAUCUGACUCCUCUUCCUCCCCACCCAGUAUCUUCUUGAGUAAUUCCAUCACCCCGUGGAACAUUGCAUCUUGUGUGAUCUCCUUCAGAUCAGAGACCAAAGGAAUUAAUAAUGAAAGCUGACCAGAACAAAUGCUUGUCACCAAAAUAUGGGAAAACUAGAGGAAUUUUACUCUUCACAGGGAGGCUUUAGAAUUGGAAAUUUAACCAAAAAGGGUCCUUAUCUUAACGGGGACAUGGGUGGUGGUAUUGAUCUUUCAAGGAAACUUUCUUGAUUAUGAAGGGAAAGCAGGUAUGCAAAUCUAUUAGUUGGUUUUGUCUGAAUCUCGAAGUUAAAGCUAGGACAUCCUUAGAGGUCAUCUAGUGCAACCUCUCACCUAAAAAGAAUCCACUGUAUAGCGUUUCUGAGGCUGCAUGCAAGACUUGCAGCAUACAUUUCAGUAGGGCCCAGGAAAGAGAGCUCACUAUCUCAACAGGCAAACAAUUCCACUGUAGUAAAAUUUGGCAUAGAAGUCUCUUAUUCAGGCCAAAAAUCACACUCCUUGGAGCUUAUACACCACAGUCUAUUAGCAGUGGUCAUCUUUUUUAUGACAGCACCUCAGAUACUGGAUUACAGUCUUCAUUACCCAGUCUUCUCUGUUCCACAUUAAACAUACUUUAACCAGGCCUUCUACAGUAAUGUCCAAUAGCACUUGUGUGAUCACAGAAAUGUUCCACAUCUAUACUGCUCAACAUAGUAGCCAGUGUGGAUUGAGCACUUAAAUUGCUGCUAGUGUGACUCAGGAACUGAAUUUUUAAUUUUACUUGCCAGAUGUGGCUAGUGGCCACCAUGCUGGACAAUACAGCUUUGUGGUUUCAAAUGUACUCUCCACAUUUAUAUGCAAUUGAGCUUGUCAACAUCCAUCAAAUGCCUGACACCUACAGUAAGGACCAGUAGAGCCUUCAGGGUGAUUGUUUAACACCUGGACAGUAUUUCUGUUAAUGCUUUCCAGAAUGGAAUUUUUAAAAAAAUAUACAGACUAUAAGUGGGUCACACUAACAGUCACUGGAACCAGUACUUUGUCAGCAAUCCCUAAGUGCCUAAACUUGUACAGCUGCAUUUUUAACCUAAAUGUAAGACUUGAUAUUUCAACUUUUUCGUUUAGGCCGUAAAGUUUAGGCACUCCCAAGUUGUGAAUCAUUUUCAAGCUCAUCUCAAUAUAGUCUACCAACCAGCCCUCCAACUCUGUGGCAAUUAGAGAAUUAGCAUUACUACCAUCUGACCCAUAUGUAGUCCUUUACAAUUUGCAAGGUACUUUUUACAUCCAUUAUAUUUAAUUUAAUCCUUAGAACACCUUGUGAGAUAGGCAAGAUAUGAAAUCUACAUUUUACAGAUAAGGCAGCUGGAACAGCAGGAACUGAACAGAUCAGAUCCUUUUUUUACUCCACUGAGCAUCAUGUAUACUGUCUUCAUCCAGAUCCUUGAUAGAAAUGUUGAAGAGGACCUGCAGAGGCCAGGCUCACCCUGAACUCUUACAUAGCACUGACUGAUACAGCAGUGUAAGCAUAUCAGUUCCCCCCAAGAGUCUGAUUAUCCAACUCACAGGUUGCCAUUUUUCAAAAGGAUGGUACAGGAGACAAUCAUCUGAUUUACAUAAUUAUUAAUACCAGUCUCAUUAGGGAAAAAAGCAAAUAAGGGUUGGCUGCCAGAAAAAAUUUCUACUUGCCUGUCCACAAAGGGACUACGACACCAACUGCUUAAAGAAGCCAUGUCUCCCUCUCUUCCAAAACCCCCCACGAGGCCAUGUUUUGUUAUUAUUUAUCGUUCUUAGCACAUCCUAUCCCACAUUGUGAUUAUAUACAUGUCUUAUAGUUAACUUCAAGUCAUUCAUCUUUAUAAUACUCAGCCCACUGCUGUCCCUGUAGGAGGCACUCAAACUGGUAAAAGAUAAACCAAUUCAAGUAAAUGUUCUUCCAGCCAUAUCUGAUUCCCCUACAAAAACAAACCUGUGACUGGAAGAGACAGACCACUGCCAUAUUCCUGCCACUGUGACUAAUUAAGAUGCCCUUAUAAUUGGCUUGGUCACAGCUUCCAGCAGGUGCUGAGGCUUCUGCUAGUUAAAAACCAGCUUUCAUUGUAUGGUUUUCUCUGUGUGUUUUAACCAAAAAAUAAGGACAUUUCUGUAACACUGGGGACAAAGUACAUGAAAUAGGGCUACUUCUUAAUAAUGCUAAUCAAUCAAUAAGGCAAAGAAGUGAAGAACAACACAAAAACAUCUGACUGUAGGUCUUCCAAGAAAGGAAAAAGGACUAACAAACAAGAAUAUAGUGCUUUACCAUUUACAAAUCUUUCAUAUACAUUCCAUUUGACC